rnacentral:lncRNA from 1 species
AGUGUGUGUGGCAGACCCCUGGGCUAACAGCCCAAGGGAUGCACCUCAAUGGUCCCAACUGGUGCCCAUAUCAGCACGCCUGGACCAGCUCAGAACAACGACCCCCACCAAUGUCUCUAUCUCAGGAGAGGAUCCUCCUCUCAUCAAGAUGCCCCCAGAGCCCACCAGGCAAGAAUUGAUUUCAGCCCAAUUACUUUUAUCUUAAAACAAGCUUUAUCAAGACCACUGACAGGUGCAUUCCCUGUGGAGGUGAGAGGCACAAGAAAAUAUGCUGGAUACUUUUGAAGUCAUGUAACAAUAAUUUGAAGGGGAUUUUGUUUCUCAUUUAAAGAAGCACCAUUUUUGGUUAGGAUGGAAUGUGCAACUAGAUAAUUUUUUGUGUGUCUGGCAUUUAGUUCUAAGACUAUUUCCUUUAAUAAAAUCUGAAAAUGUAUUUUUCUUCUGUACCUUACAUAUUUAUGUGAUCAUGAAGAGCCCAGUCAAAAUGAAUCAUAGCUAUGGACUAGUGUAAAGAAUGAACCUUACCCA